rnacentral:lncRNA from 7 species
ACCGUGCGCCAUUGCAAAGAAGGGGGCCGCCACCGGAGAAAUUCCAUCUGUGUCGACGCCCUGUCUUCGGCGCACCGCUAGGAAGAAUCACCUGGACGCGUGGAAGUUGUCCGUGCCCUCGGGGUGAAGCCGGAGCGUUCCGAGGUGCGGGAAUUUCUCGUCGGAGGUGGAGGACCACCGCGGGGGACGCACGACUCCGUGGGCGACUUCACCGCCGCCACUACCGUCGGUGAGUACCUAAUUAGUUUGUCCCGAUUGUUCUCUUCGUUGCGUAGCGGGGCUUAGAUCGAAGAAUAGAGCAUGCAGGCGCCGAUUGGCAAUACCCGGCCAUGGGGUCGCCGCGGAACCAGUGCACGCCGUCGUGUUUGUUCGCUGAGGUUGCGGAUGGCUUCUGCGCCGUUGAUAGGAUAACCAACGUCCGUGAUUAGAAGGUAGAAAUAAACAUCUCAGCCGUUGGAUGAAGUCUAAACGGCUGUGAUCGUACAGAUUGAGUUAUUACGAGGGUUAGAUUUGGACCGUCCGAUCUAAUCGGACGCAGUCGGGUAAGGAAGUUGCAGAGCCAUCGAUCUCAGAUCCAAUGAUCAGCGUUACAUAUCGAUUCGGCCGAGGAUGCGUCUAAUCCUGGCGGUCGAUUAGCGAUCGGGCGAUCCGGAGCGCACGAUACCCUUUGGCCGUGCACUUUUUCUAAAGAAACCCCGCGAAAGAUAGGAAUCAACCCACGGUCCACUGGUCUAUUCUCUGUGUCUUAAGAAUUUGUACCACGAGACCCCUGCGCUUCACAGUAUUUGGGGCCCAGUCCACAGAACAGAAAACCAGAGAAAAUAAAUUAGACAAAGAUUUUUAGUGCAUAAAUAAUUGCUAGAACUUGUGUAAAUCAUAGAAAAUUCAUACUAACUCCAAAUUGAUCCAUUCCAGUUUCUAAAAUUUUGUAAUAUUAUUGUUUAUCACCUAGAGUCUCUGUUUUGACAUGAAAACAGUAAUAAAAUUAAUUUCUCAAUUAAUCAUAUAUCAAGCACAUAAAACCUUUGGAAAUUCAUAACUUAAAAUCCAUAACUCCAAAAUUUAUGAUUCCUGUUCCUAGGAUCUUAUUUUAAUGUGUAGAUUAUUAUUAUACAUUUUUUUACAUGUUUGGUGUGAUGUUAAUUUUCUCUAUAUACUGUGCUUGUUUGUAUUGUGGCGAAUAGAAGAGACAGUGGCUGAGGAUCCGGGUGCCCAGCAGAUAGAAGUUGCUGAGCAGGAGCUCAUUGAAGGCAAGUUGUGCCAUUGACCACUUUUUACCCAAUAAUGUUCUUUAAUAUCACUUAUUCAUGCAUAGGUUUAAUUUUGAUGGGACCCAAUAGGUCAUCCUAGUCUGUUUAUCCAUUUACCUUGUUUACCCCUGAAUCAUUUGAGUAGUUAUGUUAUUGCUUUACAUGGUUUUGGGUUAAUAUUUCAUUAUAUUUAUGUUCCAAUUAUUCUGUUAUUUUAUUUAUGUUCAUGUCAAGAUCAUUAUCUUUAAUUGGAACAUGUAGCUAAAUUUGGGAAACACGUGCCACCACAAUGGUGGAAUGGGACACCCUUGACUAACUAAUUAGGAAAACUAGUGGAAGACUACCUUACCCGAAAGGGGCAAGGGCAGUAGGGGAGUUGCAUGCAGGGAGGUUCUCGGGUUGAUUUUGCUGCGAUGGUGGUCAGACGAGGGAUUCUUGCAAGUAGAACUUUGUAAAGGCCUCGUAGUGUUGCCCUGCCUCACUUCCUUGGUAGAGGUGUAUGAGAGUUGUGAUCCCUUGGCAGAUGGGUAACAUGACUUGUGGGUACAGGGUACAACCUCUGCAGAGUGUAAAACUGGUAUACUAGUCGAGCUCACGGUCAUGAGCAGCUCGAACACUCACAUGGUUAAUUUAUGGAAUUAAAUUCAAUUUGUCAUUUCAAUCGCAUUGGGAUUAUUUUAUUAUUACUUUUACUUAUUAUUACUAUGGUUUGGUAUUUACUUACACUUAGUAACUGUUAAUAAAAUUUUGACCAACUUAUAAAAGCAAUGCUCAGCUUCAACCUUUAUUUUUUAUCACCCUUACACUUCACAUGAACUCCCACAUUUGGUUUGUUCAUGCAAAUUAUUCCCCACAACUUGUUGAACGAUGAACAUGUGUUAGAUCACCCUUGCUGUCUCACACCCCCCACAGGAGAAGAACAGGUGGUCGAGGAGGAGCCGCCUAACACUGAGGCUUUCUACUUGAUCUAGGUGGCGUCUCCCAGUCAGCUUUGUGGCGCCAGGGAAUAAUAUUUAGUUCGUUUUAUUUUAUCAUUUAUUUUGUAAGACUUCCACUAUGUAAUAAGUACUCUGAUGAUAUUGUGACAUUU